GAAAUAUAUAUAAUUAAGCUGCUAACUUAAUUUAUAGUGACUUAUUUUCAUUAAUAUUUCU
rnacentral:tRNA from 1 species